rnacentral:lncRNA from 1 species
GAAAAAAAAAAAAAAAAGACAAGAUUUCAACAAAAGUCCACCUAAUUCCUUAUAUAAUCCUUCAUAAUUAUGCAGAUCCCAUUAUAUUGACUUAUCCUUUUACAUGACUAGCUCCCUCUCUAAAUGGGGAGAUCUUAGAGGGCAGAGGCUGGGUCUUAUUGAUUUAUGGAUUCUCAAUGCAUGACCCAAUGCUUGGUGCAUAGUGAGUGAUGGGUUGAUGGAUAAUUACAAGUAACUGAACGUUGUCUAACUUCUCCAUGGGUGGGAAAUGGGAGAGAAUAAGGGAAGAAAUUCAGUCCUGGAGAAGCUUUCAGUAGUCUCAUAGGAAACAUCUGUAGGUCUAAAGGGGAAAACCAGUGUCUGCAAUUGACUAGAAUGCACUGCUAGGGCAGGGACUGCUGGGGCAGGGAAACUACUGGGGAAGGGGCUGCUAGGUGCUAUUGUUAUUGAUAAUAAUAAAUGGCAUUUACCAAAACAAAAACUAAUAUGUUCCUGAAUCUGCGCUAAGUGCCUUUAUUUAUGUGACCUUAUAUAAUUCCCACAAGAACUCCAUGUAGUUCUUGAAGUUCAUGACUAAUAAUGAACUAUGACUGUGCCCUUUAUAUAGAUUGGAAAAUUGAAGCUGGAAAGUGAAGGAGCCUUUGAAGAGCAGAAGCAGAAGGCUUCCAGUUCAGAUCUGUCUCUCUGCAGAGCUCUCCUUUGUUCUAGCCAGUUUCCAUCUUCUUGGUGUUGCUAAGACAAGCUGUUACUAAGAGGAGGCUAUCCUGACUGACGGCUCAUGCUGGUUUGAGGGUCCUUCUCUUAUUCUGCAGGAAAAGAUACAGAAACAAUGGGAAACACCCCUACAGAGCUCGAGCUUGAGGAUGUGAGCAUCGAUGAGCUUUCCUUUUCUUGGCAAGGGGUUUGGUCUUCAGCUAAAUGUGUGUUUUUGCUGAUUUUAGGGGGAUUCUAAAGCAGCACUGGUUCAUCUAGCUGGAAGUAGCCUCAGCCAAGGCCAUGCUGCUGCAAAAAGUCAAUCCUGGAGCUCAUUUGCUCUUCACUUGACAUAAGUGCUUCCUUUGGUAUUAAUUUUUUUUUUUUUUGCACCAGUGAAGGUUCUUACUUGAAACUGAUUUAACAUAUUAAGGAAAGGGAUCAAUUGAAAGAAUGUUGGGUAGCUCACAGAUGACUGGGAAGUCUGCUUUGGAUGCCUGCUGGAACAAUGGAGGUUGAGAAACAGCUAGGACCCCAGCUGAAAUCAUGCCUGUCUGGUGGAGCAUUAACAUGCUUCCAGAAGUCAAAACUAUAUAAAGGAUAUACUCCGAGAAGUAUUCCUCCCUUCUGUACCCACUCCAUCUUGUUCCUCCUAGCCAGCUCUUGAAGAGUCGGAAAUUCACUCUAAACAGGAGAAGCAGCAAUGAGAACUUCAAGAAGAGAUAUAAGCUCAUCCAAGAUCAACUGCAGAGGAGGACGAGGGAAAUUUUAUAUGGGAACAAUUAUCUGAAAAAUAGAAUGUCCUCAUUUGUAUGGUCAAGGCUGGGUUGCAGAGAAGUCCAUGUUGCAGCUCAUGGAAAAAAAGAACCAAAGGGACUCAAGAACACUGGCUUAUGUCUUAGAUUGGAGAUGACCUGGAAAGUCAACUUUCACCCAUAACCCAUUGGCCUAAAGUAAGUCCCAGAGUCAACUUGAAUUGCAAGGGAUCCGGAGUAAUGCUGUUUAUACCUGGAGUGCUGGGGACCCAGCUUAAACUCUACCACCAUAGAAGACAGGGAAGAUAGAUUUUGAUGGAUGACCAGAAGUUUCUGUUACAUGUACAACAGAUUAAAAAUAUAUAUAUUGCCAGCUGGGUGUGGUGGCUCAUGCCUGUAAUCCCAGAACUUUGGGAGUCCAA